rnacentral:rRNA from 1 species
GAUGAACGCUGGCGGCGUGCUUAACACAUGCAAGUCGAACGGAAAGGCCAGUGCUUGCACUGGUACUCGAGUGGCGAACGGGUGAGUAACACGUGGGUGAUCUGCCCUGCACUUCGGGAUAAGCCUGGGAAACUGGGUCUAAUACCGGAUAGGACAAUGGUUUGGAUGCCGUUGUGGAAAGUUUUUUCGGUGUGGGAUGAGCUCGCGGCCUAUCAGCUUGUUGGUGGGGUAAUGGCCUACCAAGGCGUCGACGGGUAGCCGGCCUGAGAGGGUGUACGGCCACAUUGGGACUGAGAUACGGCCCAGACUCCUACGGGAGGCAGCAGUGGGGAAUAUUGCACAAUGGGCGCAAGCCUGAUGCAGCGACGCCGCGUGGGGGAUGACGGCCUUCGGGUUGUAAACUCCUUUCGCUAGGGACGAAGCGUAUUUGUGACGGUGCCUGGAGAAGAAGCACAGGCUAACUACGUG